CCCUUAGAUGUUCUGGGCCGCACGCGUGCUACACUGAGUGGAUCAGCGGGUCAGGUUGCGCGAAAGCGUUUCCUAAUCUUUAAAUCCGCUCGUGAUGGGGAUUGACGGUUGCAAUUUUCUGUCAUGAACGAGGAAUACCUUGUAAGCGCGGGUCAUCAUCCCGCGCUGAAUACGUCCCUGCCCUUUGUACACACCGCCCGUCGCUCCUACCGAUUGAGUGAGCCGAUGAAACUCUCGGAUGUAGGCUAUUCAUAGCCCGCAGAAGAGAUUUGAAUCGUAGCGCUUAGAGGAAGGAGAAGUCGUAACA
rnacentral:rRNA from 1 species